rnacentral:rRNA from 1 species
AGAACGAACGCUGGCGGCAUGCCUAACACAUGCAAGUCGAACGAGACCUUCGGGUCUAGUGGCGCACGGGUGCGUAACGCGUGGGAAUCUGCCCUUAGGUACGGAAUAACAGUGAGAAAUUACUGCUAAUACCGUAUGAUGUCUUCGGACCAAAGAUUUAUCGCCUAGGGAUGAGCCCGCGUAGGAUUAGCUAGUUGGUGGGGUAAAGGCCUACCAAGGCGACGAUCCUUAGCUGGUCUGAGAGGAUGAUCAGCCACACUGGGACUGAGACACGGCCCAGACUCCUACGGGAGGCAGCAGUGGGGAAUAUUGGACAAUGGGCGAAAGCCUGAUCCAGCAAUGCCGCGUGAGUGAAGAAGGCCUUCGGGUUGUAAAGCUCUUUACCCGGGAAGAUAAUGACUGUACCGGGAGAAUAAGCCCGGCUAACUCCGCGCCAGCAGCCGC